AUGUGCCUUCGGGUGAAAUAUUCAUAGCCAAAAGAGGAGCUCGCGACCGAUUAGCUAGUUGGUGGGGUAAGAGCCUACCAAGGCUCUUUUCGGCGAUCGGUAGCCGGUUUGAGAGGACGACCGGCCACACUGUGGACUGAGACACGGCCCAGACUCCUACGGGAGGCAGCAGUGGGGAAUUUUUUCCGCAAUGGGCGAAAGCCUCCUGACGGAGCAAUACCGCGUGAGGGAGGAAGGCUCUUGUGGGUCGUAAACCUCUUUUCUCAGGGAAGAAGCAAUGACGGUACCUGGAUAAGGAAUCAGCAUCGGCUAACUCCGUGCCAGCAGCCGCGGUAUUGAUACGGAGGAUGCAAGGGUUUUACCUCUUGGGAAAAAUUCCCCAUAAAGCGUUCCCCCCCGUAGGACUUUGGCACAUCAAGUCUGCUGUCAAAGCCCCCAGCUUAACUGGGAAGAGGGCCCGGUGGAAACUGGUGAGCUAGAGAGCAAUAGGGGUAGAGGGAAUUCCCGGUGUAGCGGUGAAAUGCGUAGAGAUCGGGAAGAACACCAGUGGCGAAAGCGCUCUACUAGGUUG
rnacentral:rRNA from 1 species